rnacentral:rRNA from 1 species
CAGCAGCCACGGUAAUACGAAGGGUGCAAGCGUUACUCGGAAUUACUGGACGUAAAGCGUGCGUAGGUGGUGGUUUAAGUCCGUUGUGAAAGCCCUGGGCUCAACCUGGGAAUUGCAGUGGAUACUGGGUCACUAGAGUGUGGUAGAGGAUAGUGGAAUUUCCGGUGUAGCAGUGAAAUGCGUAGAGAUCGGAAGGAACAUCUGUGGCGAAGGCGACUAUCUGGGCCAACACUGACACUGAGGCACGAAAGCGUGGGGAGCAAACAGGAUUAGAUACCCCUGUAGUCCCUGUCUUUUAUAA